UCCGUAGGCGGUGCGGCAAGUCGGAAGUGAAAUCUCUGGGCUUAACCCAGAGGCUGCUUCCGAAACUGCCGUGCUAGAGUGCGAGAGAGGCGAGUGGAAUUGCGGGUGUAGCGGUGAAAUGCGUAGAUAUCCGCAGGAACAUCCGAGGCGAAAGCGGCUCGCUGGAUCGCAACUGACGCUGAGGGACGAAAGCUAGGGGAGCAAACAGGGUUAGAUACCCUGGUAGUCCUAGCCCUAAACCAUCAGGACUUGGGGUUUGCCCUGUACGGGGCAAGUCCCGUAGCUAACGCGUUAAGUCCUGCGCCUGGGGAGUACGGUCGCAAGGCUGAAA
rnacentral:rRNA from 1 species